rnacentral:rRNA from 1 species
GAUGAACGCUGACAGAAUGCUUAACACAUGCAAGUCGACUGGAAUUCACCUUCGGGUGAUAGUACGGUGGCGGACGGGUGAGUAACGCGUAAAGAACUUGCCCUCUAGACUGGGACAACUGUUGGAAACGACAGCUAAUACCGGAUAUUAUGAGAGCCUCGCAUGGGGAACUCAUGAAAGCUAUAUGCGCUAGAGGAGAGCUUUGCGUGCCAUUAGCUAGUUGGUGGGGUAACGGCCCACCAAGGCGACGAUGGCUAGCCGGCCUGAGAGGGUGAUCGGCCACAAGGGGACUGAGACACGGCCCUUACUCCUACGGGAGGCAGCAGUGGGGAAUAUUGGACAAUGGACCAAAAGUCUGAUCCAGCAAUUCUGUGUGCACGAUGAAGGUCUUCGGAUCGUAAAGUGCUUUCAGGUGGGAAGAAAAAAAUGACGGUACCACCAGAAGAAGCGACGGCUAAAUACGUGCCAGCCGCCGCGGUAAU